rnacentral:rRNA from 1 species
UACGUAGGGGGCAAGCGUUAUCCGGAUUUACUGGGUGUAAAGGGAGCGUAGACGGCACUGCAAGUCUGGAGUGAAAGCCCGAGGCCCAACCACGGGACUGCUCUGGAAACUGCGGGGCUGGAGUGCAGGAGGGGUAAGCGGAAUUCCUAGUGUAGCGGUGAAAUGCGUAGAUAUUAGGAGGAACACCAGUGGCGAAGGCGACUUUCUGGACUGUACCUGACGCUGAGGCGCGAAAGCAUGGGGAGCGAACAGG